AUUGAACGCUGGCGGAAUGCUUUACACAUGCGAGUCGAACGGCAGCACGGACUCAGGUCUGGUGGCGAGUGGCGAACGGGUGAGUAAUGUAUCGGAACGUGCCCAGUCGGGGGGGAUAACGUAGUGAAAAUUACGCUAAUACCGCAUACGAUCUAUGGCUGAAAGGGGGGGAUCGCAAGACCUCGCGCGAUUGGAGCGGCCCAUAUCAGAUUAGGUAGUUGGUGGGGUAAAGGCCCACCAAGCAAACGAUCUGUAGCUGGUCUGAGAGGACGACCAGCCACACUGGAACUGAGACACGGUCCAGACUCCUACGGGAGGCAGCAGUGGGGAAUUUUGGACAAUGGGCGAAAGCCUGAUCCAGCCAUUCCGCGUGCAGGAUGAAGGCCCUCGGGUUGUAAACUGCUUUUGUACAGAACGAAAAGGUUUCUACUAAUACUAGGAGCUCAUGACGGUACUGUAAGAAUAAGCACCGGCUAACUACGUGCCAGCCGCCGCGGUAA
rnacentral:rRNA from 1 species